rnacentral:sRNA from 1 species
GCUGGGCAUGGUGGCGCAUGCCUGUAAUCCCAGCUACUCAGGAGGCUGAGGCGGGAGAAUUGCUUGAACCCAGGAGGCAGAGGUUGCAGUGAGCUGAGAUCGCACCACUACACUCCAGCCUGGGUAACAAGAGCGAAACUCCGUCUCAA